UUCGGGAUGCCGGCGAGUGGCGAACGGGUGAGUAAUACGUGGAAACCUAUCCCGAGGUGGGGGAUAACAGCUGGAAACGGCUGCUAAUACCGCAUAAGCCCUAAGGGGGAAAGAUUUAUCGCCUUGGGAGGGGUCCACGUCGGAUUAGCUAGUUGGUAGGGUAAAGGCCUACCAAGGCGACGAUCCGUAGCUGGUCUGAGAGGAUGGACAGCCACACUGGGACUGAGACACGGCCCAGACUCCUACGGGAGGCAGCAGUGGGGAAUACUGCGCAAUGGGGGAAACCCUGACGCAGCGAUGCCGCGUGGGUGAAGAAGGCCUUCGGGUUGUAAAGCCCUUUCAGUGGGGAAGAUAGUGACGGUACCCACAGAAGAAGCUCCGGCUAACUCCGUGCCAGCAGCCGCGGUAAUACGGAGGGGGCGAGCGUUGUUCGGAAUUACUGGGCGUAAAGGGCGCGUAGGCGGUGCAGCAAG
rnacentral:rRNA from 1 species